rnacentral:misc_RNA from 1 species
GAUGAAGAUCGUAGUGAAAUGCGAUACUUGGUGUGAAUUGCAGAAUCCCGUGAACCAUCGAGUCUUUGAACGCAAGUUGCGCCCGAAGCCAUUAGGCCGAGGGCACGCCUGCCUGGGCGUCACACGUCGUUGCCCCCCCAUCUACUCCUUCGGGAUUGCGGGGGGGCGGAUGAUGGCCUCCCGUGCGCCUCGCCGCGCGGUUGGCAUAAAUGCCAAGUCCUCGGCGACGCACGCCACGACAAUCGGUGGUUGCGAAACCUCGGUUGCCCGUCGUGUGCGGUCGUCGCGCAUCGAGGGCUCGAAAAAAUUGCCGGGUUCCGGCUCGGCUUUCAACGCGACCCCAGGUCAGGCGGGGUUACCCGCUGAAUUUAAGCAUAUCAAUAAGCGGAGGA